CACAUUCUUGCAGGGAUACUGGGAUUUUCAGCAAAUUGAGAUUAUAAAACAAUUGCGUAACAGUUGUUUCUAUUCUAAUGCAUAUAUAACAAACAAACAAAAAGAAUUAAAAUAAAUGCACUAAAGCUUCGAAAAUGUAUAAAAAUAAAAUUUAAAUAAAAUUCCGCGAAAUUUCAUGGAGGAUUUGGCGAAUUUACGUCAUAGCAAAACACGACGUCAAACGGAUAAAAAUUUUCAAGGGAAAGAUUAUUUCGUUACGUGUACG
rnacentral:lncRNA from 1 species